rnacentral:sRNA from 12 species
GGAUAAUCCCAGGUGACUGGGGAAAAGUCGGGUCAGGCUGUUGGCCCGGCUCCUCGGAAAACGGAUCGCAAGAUUCGAACGAGAGGCAAAAUUCACCGGUUCCUCUGGCACGUUCGCGCGGGCCAGAACGCGAAAAUGGAAUCAGGCGGCGAGGGACGAUGAGAAACCGUUCCAGACCGAGUCAAGUAGUUCAGGCAGGUUUCGAGCCUGGAUGAAUCGCAGUUACCGAAAUGGUAUUUGGUUGCUACUGCGCAUCAGCACGGUGCGACUGACUCUGGCGGAAUUCAAAAAAUAAAAUUGAAUCCGCCAAAAGAAAAACGCCGGAAGGCGGACAAAGAGAGCGUUCGCAGCGGGAAGGUCACGACGGCUGGGCAAGUCGCGUGAAAACUUCCAAGGGUCGGCGAUGUUAAAAACGACACCGCUGAACUGUGAAAAAGGCAAUCUGUGAGUGAAGAGGCGAGACCCGUGCCUCGGGCGAACGCGCCGUCAAAAGCGGCGGCUGACCCGAAGCAAAUGGUCAAGACGCGAGAGAAAAUCGCAGGCGUGUCUUGACCUGGUUUGCAGGCCGGUGGCGCAACCAUCAGCCGAAGCGAGCUGAAAAGCCUCACUCGAAAUUCAGCAGCCGCAAGGCGCUGAACGGCCCUGCCACGAGGCCGAAGACUCCGCUUGCCGUGGAGAAUGGCGUCGGGAAACUGACAGCCCCUGAAAAAGGCGCGCGCCGAAUGUCAGUCCGGGAAAGAGAGUUUGGCGAACUCC